rnacentral:rRNA from 1 species
CUAUGGGGUGCAGCAGGCGAGAAAACUUUGCAAUGUGCGAAAGCACGACAAGGUUAAUCCGAGUGUUUCCUGCUAAAGGAAUCUUUUGUUAGUCGUAGAACCACUAGCGAAUAAGGGGUGGGCAAGUUCUGGUGUCAGCCGCCGCGGUAAAACCAGCACCUCAAGUGGUCAGGAGGAUUAUUGGGCCUAAAGCAUCCGUAGCCUGUUUUGUAAGUCUUCGGUUAAAUCCACAUGCUUAACAUGUGGGCUGCCGGAGAUACUGCAAAACUAGGGAGUGGGAGAGGUAGACGGUACUUGAUAGGAAGGGGUAAAAUCCUUUGAUCUAUUGAUGACCACCUGUGGCGAAGGCGGUCUACCAGAACACGUUCGACGGUGAGGGAUGAAAGCUGGGGGAGCAAACCGGAUUAGAUACCCGGGUAGUCCCAGCUGUAAACGAUGCAGACUCGGUGAUGCAUUGGUUUAUUGCCAGUGCAGUGCCGCAGGGAAGCCGUUAAGUCUGCCGCCUGGGAAGUACGUACGCAAGUAUGAAACUUAAAGGAAUUGGCGGGGGAGCACCACAAGGGGUGAAGCCUGCGGUUCAAUUGGAGUCAACGCCUGAACCUUACCCGGAGAGACAGCAGAAUGAAGGUCAAGCUGAAGACUUUACCAGACAGCUGAGAGGUGGUGCAUGGGC